GAUGAACGCUGGCGGCGUGCCUAAUACAUGCAAGUCGAGCGAAUGGAUUAAGAGCUUGCUCUUAUGGAGUUAGCGGCGGACGGGUGAGUAACACGUGGGUAACCUGCCCAUAAGACUGGGAUAACUCCGGGAAACCGGGGCUAAUACCGGAUAACAUUUUGAACCGCAUGGUUCGAAAUUGAAAGGCGGCUUCGGCUGUCACUUAUGGAUGGACCCGCGUCGCAUUAGCUAGUUGGUGAGGUAACGGCUCACCAAGGCAACGAUGCGUAGCCGACCUGAGAGGGUGAUCGGCCACACUGGGACUGAGACGCGGCCCAGACUCCUACGGGAGGCAGCAGUAGGGAAUCUUCCGCAAUGGACGAAAGUCUGACGGAGCAACGCCGCGUGAGUGAUGAAGGCUUUCGGGUCGUAAAACUCUGUUGUUAGGGAAGAACAAGUGCUAGUUGAAUAAGCUGGCACCUUGACGGUGCCUAACCAGAAAGCCACGGCUAACUACGUGCCAGCAGCCGCAGUAA
rnacentral:rRNA from 1 species